rnacentral:rRNA from 1 species
UACGAAGGGGGCUAGCGUUGCUCGGAAUCACUGGGCGUAAAGCGCACGUAGGCGGCUUUUUAAGUCAGGGGUGAAAUCCUGGAGCUCAACUCCAGAACUGCCUUUGAUACUGAGAAGCUUGAGUCCGGGAGAGGUGAGUGGAACUGCGAGUGUAGAGGUGAAAUUCGUAGAUAUUCGCAAGAACACCGGUGGCGAAGGCGGCCAACUGGACCAUUACUGACGCUGAGGCACGAAAGCGUGGGGAGCGAACGGG